UCCAGUACACCUUCGGUAUGCCGUUUCGGUUUCCAGAACGCUACACAGACCUGGAUCGGGAGCAGAGUAUGCUAAUGAUGAAACUUUUCACGCACUUCAUCAACACAGGAAGGCCAAGCUCACCAAAUGGCACCGAAUGGCCCACUUACACCAAGGAAGAUCCUCAUCAUGCAAGACUGCAUACAGGCAACGCCAGCGUCGGUACUGAGUUCCAUGGAAACGGGUGUCGUCUUUUCCGCGAAGCUUACGUUUCACUCGGCCUCAUAAAACCAUGAGAAGCACAGACGAGCGAAAGUCGUGAAAUAAAAUUUACUUGUGUGUCA